GCUGGGUGUGGUGGCACUUGCCUGUAGUCCCAGCUACUCAGGAGGCUAAGGCAAGAAGAUUACUUGAGGCCAGGAGUUUAAGAUCAGCCUGAGCAACAUACAGAGAUCCUGUCUCAA
rnacentral:sRNA from 1 species